rfam:Triticum urartu cultivar G1812 contig909258, whole genome shotgun sequence.
GGGGCUAUAGCUCAGCUGGGAGAGCGCCUGCCUUGCACGCAGGAGGUCAGCGGUUCAAUCCCGCUUAGCUCCA